CCUGGAGCAGGCAGAGAAUCCCAUCACUUUUUGCAGGAGGAGCAUCACACCUGGGAACCUUUGGACUUCCCUUCUGACUUCAGUGGACCUCAUUUGUUAUUUUUUGAAGCAAAUUUUUAUGGACAUCAGUGAUAUGCUGUAGGAGCUCCUGUGCCCACGGAACCCUGUUGUUGUCCUGGUCAUACAGCUGUCAACAGACUUCCUCUUUGAGCUUAACCUGGCUUGAACUGUGUGGCUUGCAGUUAUAACAGUCUAUUGUGCAGAAGAAGAAAUAACAUUGGAGAAGCAAACCAACAACUAGCUGAACAAAACUCAGUUAAUAGAACUUAAUAUCAAGUCUGAGUCUUAAUACUAUGAUUUUAUUAAAAAGGCAAGGUGUAUGAAGCUAGCCUGAUGUCUCAGAUUGAAUUAUGACUGC
rnacentral:lncRNA from 1 species